UUUAAAUAAAAAAUAAAUAAUUUAAACAAAAUAUUUAAUUUUUUAUUAUUUAAUUUUAAUAUUAUAAACCUAUUUUCAUAGAUUACUUAUGGUGUGUGUACCACACAGCUGCUGGUCGGUUGUGCGCGGGAACGUGUUAUCACAUCACCUACAAAUGACGUCGCAACAGGCACAAAUAGUAUCAAAGAACUAGCACAGUAUAAACAAAGAAUAAAUAAGAAUAAAGUAUGAACCAAGGAUAUGAACUAUGAAUCUCUUUUCUAUGUAUGAAGUCGCAUUGUCUAUCGAUAAGGUUAAUCGAACGGCGGUUUUAGACGAACUGUUAUCACGGUUCAUUCCGUAAUAAACACACGGGUAGAAAAAAAAAUGUUAAAUACAUUUUUGGAAUGAUCUUCUGUACUCUGUCAGGCAUGUGCAGACGUACUGUGCGCCAGUAGACCAGAGAGAGUUUGUGUGUGUGCUUUCAUUAUUACCACUAAUGUCACUGAUAACUCAGAAUCACUUGAAAUUUUCAACCUCAACAUCAAACAAGGUGUUAUCAUCAUCACAUUUGGAUUAGAUCAGUUCUGAUGAAAGAUGACAGUUAAGAUGGAUAAGCAAUAAGGGAUUAGACUGUUAUUGACAUAAAUAACACUACCAAAGAAUAUGAUAUGUAUCAGAAAUUUUAUUAACUGUAAGGAUGGUGGUGAACAAAAUUUAAUCAUAUCUGUUUUAGAUGACAAGAAGAAACCUAAACCACGCAUAAUAACGCACUAAUUGACCAUCAUGUCAUGUGUCUAACAUAUAAAAAUAUAGCGGACAACCUCAACCGCAAGAAACAGAAACCAAAGAAAUAACCUAUUAAGCAGCACAAAUAAAACAAAUACAUCAGCCUCGAAACAUGGAACCUAACUAACAAAGCAGACUCAACAGUCAAAAUAACACAACGAAUAUAAUAUUAUACUAUUAAUACAAAACCGAUAAAAUUAUAUUUACAUUAAAACCAGACAUAGUUAUGAAUCAAAUUAAAAAAAAAAAAAAAACAUUUAGCCAAUAGUUAAAACAUAAAAUUUAAUUCAAACUAAAACAUA